AGGCUGAGAAGAGGCGGGCGAGGGGAGGACCGGCUGUGCGACAUUCCCCGCCCAGGCAGACAGACGGCGCCGGGCAGUGGGGUCACUGGGGCAGCUCGCACUCCCCUAGUCUCUUGUGGAAGCCGAGCUGAGAGCAGCUCUUGGUCAUGGGAGCUCCCUGCACCACAAUAACCACCCUUCUCCUGCUGCCCAUCCUGCAAGCUGCCCCGGACAAUGGAAUCCAGACAGCAUGUGGCCACGGGGGGCCCCAGAGCCGGAUUGUCGGGGGGGAGGACGCCCCGGUGGGAGCCUGGCCCUGGCAGGUCAGUCUGCAGUAUGAGAAUCGUCACGUCUGCGGCGGGACCCUCAUCAGCUCGGAG